GUGACAGAUCAGAACAUGGAGAAUCACAGACAGAGGGACAGUGACAGCAGAGAAGCAGAGACAGAUGGCACAACAGGGAUAAAACAGACUCAGAGGCCCAGUUAAAGUGGUGAGUUGUAUCUCCAGACUCCAGUGGUGUUUUAACAUGUAUUUAUUUUAAACAUGAGCUGGUUAAAAAGAGCUGGUUAAAAAAGGAGAAAGACCAUGUUUCUUCACUCACUGGUACAGUAAAGCUUGGGAAUCUCUGUACUAUAGUGUACUACUGAUGUUAUACACCGCAGGUUAGGAGAGUUAGGUUAAGGUUAGGAAAGGGGUUAGGGUUAGCGGAAAUGCUCUCCUAACCUACUACAAAAAUCACUUCCGGUCGUAGCUGUAUCAAGUGUCAAAGAGGGCAACAUUCUCUAAUAACUACAUGCCUAAUUCUGUUUCAUACUUCUCAAAGUUGAUUACUAGCUAAUUCAUUUUUUCUUCAGUGAUUCAAUUCAGUAAGAUAUCAUCAUUUACAAAUUUAAAAGAUUAGAUUUACAUUUACUGAAACACAUGAAUUCAACAGGUCAGUUCAUCUCGAUACUUCAAAACUCCUAAGAACUUCACAAAUCCAGUGUGUGGGUCUUCCAGUGAGUUGGAGAGGAAUGAGGAACCAUGGCACAGUUUGAAACCUUGAUAUGGACUAUACCUAUUAUAUUGGUGCUUGUAAGCAUUGGAUGCUGUAUUGCAUGUGGUAGAGCUGAGUACAGAAUAGGGGAGGAAUGUUGUCCCAUGUGUUCACCAGGUAAGGACACUCUUUACAUCAUAUGAAUCACCAGACAUUAAUACAUCAUCAACACUAACAGAAAAACAUGACAUUGUGAUUCUCUCUUCCCCAGGAAAUCGUGGAUAUAAGCAUUGUACUGAAUUCACCAGCACCAGCUGUGUGCCCUGUGUUGAUUCUACAUUUCUUGAUGAGCCCAAUGGUCUCAUAAAAUGCAAAGUGUGUACCAACUGUGAUGCAGGUUUGGGUUUGAAGGUAAAGCAGCCAUGUACACCUUCAUCAGACACAGUCUGUGGGACACUGGAGGGGUUCUACUGUCUAGACCCAACUAAGGAUGUUUGUAGAGCAGCCCAGAGACACAGCAGCUGUAAACCUGGUCAAUACAUCAGCCAC